UUUGUAAAGCCAACUAUCCAUUUUCGUUGGAAUGAUAUCUGAGAUUUGAGUGAGAACGGACUCUACGAUUUGAGAGAAGAGUAGACAUGAAACAAUAAAGUAGUUAUUAUCACCUUCUUCUUCCAAUCGUCUCAAUAAUCAUCUUCUCUUUCGUAAUUUCCAUAAGAUUUGAAGUUAUUACCCACCUCCGGAUGCAUACUCUGAUAAGGAAGAGUUGGAACUGCAACACUAUACUGGAUUUGAAGAUCUCCUUUACAGGGGUUAAGUGUGAACAUGGAUCUGUAAAUUUCAUUUGCCCUUUUGGUGAUCUGGUUCAGUAAUUCAAAUGAUGUAUAAGAAUUUGGUUUGUCAUGGCAUGAAUUUGUUUUGCAUAGCUACUGGUGGUGCAGAUGAAGAUCUCCAGUUAAUGACAACUGAUAAUGAUUCAUGAAAAUAACUAAUUAAGCUUCACAGAUGAAACACUAGGAAAGUGGAACGAAAUGGUUAUCUAUCGAGACAUAAAUAUACGAGUCGCUGUAAAGAGAUCGGAUCAUGUCACUUUCAGGUGCGAAUGAUUUUUGGUACACGAGAUUAGCCUCUUUGAGCCAUGAUUACAAAAGGUGUAUUAAUCGGAUACAUGAAGGUGUUAAUUGGAAUGUUUGCAAAAGAUGGCCAAAUCUACAUAUUGGCCUCCGUAUCAGUAUGGAUUUGAGGAAUGCUUUUUGUUAAUUAUACGUGCCAUGUUGUGGAGACACAACAAACUAUUUGCCUCUAUCAUCUGCUAACGAUAUGUAUUCUUUAGAUUAUUAGGUACAUGACAAGUUUGAGGAGUUGGUGUUGUUGGUUGAAAAGCUACGAAUGUAUUGGUAUUGGUGUUGAUCAUAAUGGUUGAAUAAUUCAUUAUGCAGCUAAGAAAA